UACGUAGGGUGCAAGCGUUAAUCGGAAUUACUGGGCGUAAAGCGUGCGCAGGUGGUUGUGUAAGCUUGAUGUGAAAUCCCCGGGCUUAACCUGGGAAUGGCAUUGAGGACUGCACGGCUAGAGUGUGGCAGAGGGGGGUGGAAUUCCGCGUGUAGCAGUGAAAUGCGUAGAGAUGCGGAGGAACACCGAUGGCGAAGGCAGCCCCCUGGGCUAACACUGACACUCAUGCACGAAAGCGUGGGGAGCAAACAGGAUUAGAAACCCUCGUAGU
rnacentral:rRNA from 1 species